rnacentral:lncRNA from 1 species
AAAGGGAGAAAACUCGGGGAAAAAUAAAAGUGACAGACUAUCGCAAUAUUUCCUCAGUGAAAUCGAAAUUGCUCUUUAUAUACAUGCAUUUUUGGGGAAGCUAGCUUUAUAGUUUACGCUUUGAAGAACCGCCAAUAUGUCAGGUAUAAAAUAAUUAGAAUGUAUAGUACCAAAAAGCCCCUAUGUGUCCGGUACCACGAAUUCUUCUUCUUCUGAUAUACAGUUACAGCUUCAUUGCUUGAAGAUUACGAACUGUAAUUCCAGAGUAUUACAAGAACUAUUAAAAACCAAGAUGGCAAGAUACAUGUACACAUCGAUUUGUCCCAACAAUAUGUUGUUAUACUACUUAAUAUUACAGUAUAUUUUCUUCUUCCAAGUAAAGAACAGUAUUGAUACUGAUUGUGUAUGGCCCAGCCAUGUAUGUAUGUACAUUGUCAUUGGAGAUUCCACCAAUUAAGAUAUUGAUUGACUGCAAGGGUACAGCGGAUCCCUGUACACUCCCUAAAGAUAAAUGGAGAUGUGCCCUUUACAAUAUUAUCCCACCACCAGAACAGUCCUUACCUAACACCGCCCAAGGGAGCGUGUAGGACACCAGGAAGUCUGUUAUGGAAGCAAGUUAACUCGUACCAACGGAAACUCGUACCAUGUUAACUCGUACCAAAAAAGUUAACUCGUACCACUUCAAACUCGUACCAUCAAAAAUUUAUUAAAAACUACAAAUAUUUUAUGAUAUUUUUUUGUAAACUUAAUAAAACUAAUGUUAAAUUACUUGAAUUUUAUACUGGAUUUUAAUAGACGAAAAAUACGAAAGUUUUUCUAAAAGCUUUAUUUUUUAAGCUGAUCUUUCAAAGUAAUUAUAAUCCAGAAGAAAGUAAAAACAUAAUCAUUUGCUUUAACUGUACCUUAAGUUGAAUAUCUAUAUCCAAAUCAAAUUAAUUUAAUGCUGGUUAUCCAUGAUCACAAAUCGAAUGCUAUGUUUACAAUUGUUGAAAGCCAUGUGCUUUAUGGCGGGAAAAUUCGGGGACAAGAAACAGUUAUAUUUCAUUGUAACUUGUUAUUUAUAAAAAGUAAGAAUUUCAUUUUGGAAAUCAUUUUGAUUGCUAGGAUUUUUUCAUGAAAAAUUUAUUUGGAAUGAUUAAAAAUUAAAUUCAAUAAUUAUGAGUAAAAGUUUAAAAAGAGUCUAUUUAAAGGAGACAUCAAAGCAAAUCUGCCACAGUAUUUUCGAUCCAAUAGACAGGGGACAUUAGCUACAAAUUGGUCAUCGUCCUAUAAAUCAUAUACAUUUCACAGUCUUGAGAGGUAUUGAGGGAAGUAAAUUAUAUACAUCAUUAUAAACACCAUUUAAAUAAGUUGGUACGAGUUAGCAGUGGUACGAGUUUGCAUUGGUACGAGUUUUUGUAAAGUGGUACGAGUUGACGUUGGUACGAGUUUACAAUGGUACGUGAUAACUAUAAUUCUCUGUUAUUAUGGUGGAGGAAGGCGAAGUACUCUGAGAGAACCACCAGGCCACUCGGUGGAAACAGACAAACCAGAGAGAUAUCAGAAGAUUGAUCUCCAGGUUCGAAGUAGGGGACAACUUUGACCAACCAGUCAAGGUUCUAACUUAAAUAUUAAAGUUAUUAGAGAAAAAUAACAAACAUGUUGUUAUUGUGGGAUAAAAUAUCAAAAAACUGUGAUAACAUAUGUAUGUUACGUGUUUCAAAGGGAAAAUAUACAACCUUUAUUUUGUAAAAUUUUUCUCAAAUUCUAUUGAUAUUAUAAUUUUCUUUAUGUAUACUAAUCUUUGCAAAGAUAUAACAGCGUAGUUUACCAAUCAUGCAUAGUUCACCUAUGUUAUUACGGAAAAUAUAUUCCAGCAAUAACAAAAGGGUGUUAUUACAGAUUCUCUAUAUCUCUUUAAAUGCUUUGCCCUGACAUGCAUAACAAUUUCUUUCAAUUCAUGUAAGAAAUGAUGAUCAGAGCUUGUAAUGAGGCACUGCGCAAGAUUCCAAGUGUCUCAUUUACUCUCAUGGUUGAUCAAAAUUGUAUUAAUAGAAUUAGAAAAUUAGUAUUCAAGGUAAGAUAUCUAUAAUAAAUAACUGAUAACUACAUAUGUUAUUACAGAUUAAGGAAAAAAGAGUAGACAACUCAUGAAAGUGUCUGUAAUAACACAUGCAUGUUAUUUUUCUCUGAUAACUUAUUUAAGUUAGACCCUUGACUGCCAACCAAGGCCCCCAAAGUACCCAUUCUAGUUUAAACUCCGGUCUGGGUACCAGAGAUGUGUGUGAGAGGGUGAAAAUUACUCUUCUGAUGUACUGAUAUUUUUAGCACUCUGAGUGAGAAUCAAACUCAGGACCUUCAGCACCGUAGCCAUUGGUCUUAACCACUAGACCAUGAACUCACAUGAUUAUUAUGAUUUUAAGAUAUUAGUGGUGUUUACUCAAUAAAAGUGCAAUAUUAAUGGAUACCAAGUACCAUCUUGUAGGACCGAAGUGGGGAAGGAAUCUUUUUACCCAAGGACGAUACGAGACUGGAAUGCCCUACCACAUACUGCCACCAAUACAGAUACAACAUGUACAAUGUAGUCUUGAAUGCUUCAAGAUUUAUCUACACGGGAUGAACUAGAUCAACUCCAAGAUGUUUUUAAAUUCACUGUAUAUAUGAUGUAUAGCACAAAUUCUUAUCAAACAAUACUUAUUUCUUAUCAAAAUUUUAAACAUGUUAAAUGCGCAUCCAAAAGUGGCAAAAUAAUCAACUUAUUGAUGAUGGCCGCAUAUUGGUAGAAGUUGGGGGUAGUUUAUUUUCCAAAUAGGUCGACCUCAGGAUCUAAAAGCAGUGCUCUAACCAAUUGAACCAGAAAAGAUCUUCCCUGACUCAACUAGUUAGACUACCUUUAUAUCUCCAGGUCUACAACACUUUUCUUAACCAGCAUGACCAGUAGUCAAUACUUCGGUGUCAUUUUUAUAAAUUUUCUGUUUACUAAACUUUGAUUUUUUCGAAAAACUAAGGAUUCUCUUAUUCCAGGCAUAGAUUACCUUAGCCGUAUUUGGCAUAACUUUUUUGGAAUUUUGGAUAAAUGCUCUUCAACUUUGUACUUGUUUGGCUUUAUAAGUAUUUUGAUAUGAGCGUCACUGAUGAGUCUUGUGUAGACGAAACGCGCGUCUGGCGUACUAAAUUAUAAUCCUGGUACCUUUGAUAACUAUUUACACCACUGGGUCGAUGCCACUGCUGGUUGACGUUUCGUCCCUGAGGGUAUCACCAGCCCAGUAGUCAAUACUUUGGUGUUGGAAUAUCAAUAACGUGGUCAUUUUUAUAAAUUUUCUGUUUACUAAACUUUGAAUUUUUCGAAAAACUAAGGAUUUUCUUAUCCCAGGCAUAUUGGAUAAAUGCUCUUCAACUUUGUACUUGUUUGGCUUUACAAAUAUUUUGAUAUGAGCGUCACUGAUGAGUCUUGUGUAGACAAUUCUCCCUUUUCUUUUUUUCAUGCUGCGUACCAUCCAUGAGGGUAGUAAUGCCCUUUACCAUCAGUCAUCAAACGGUCAUUUUUAGCUUCCGUUAGCGUAAAAUUGAUUAAAAUGUUACCAUGAUUCGUCAAAAUAUCGUCAUCGGAAUUCGUCAAACAUGUCAACGGUCUCAAAUAAUUAUCGUUUCCUUUAUUUUUCGAAAAAAAUUAACGUGAUUUCUCAAAAUCAUUCAAUUUUUUUAUCGUCUAUUAAAAAGAAAGUGCAAAUUUUAUCGUCAUGCACCAAAAAUUAACAUUAACGUCAUUUGGAUAGAACUUUUACCAUUAUUCGUCAUGAAGGUACCAUCCUCAUCCAUCAACAAAUCACACUCACAGGUCAACUACUGUACAACCUGGAGACUUUCACUCAGAAAUCCUAGAGCCAGUUCCCUGCAUGUCAAUUAAACAUGUACUGAUCAUCAUAUGACCUGGUCAACCCUCAUGACCAUAUCAAGCUGCCACGCUCUUAUGUACCAGUAUGAGCAUGAUGAGAUUUUUCUUUUUCAGUUUCAGAAAACCAUCAACAAACUGAAUGUUUACUUUCUGGCACAUGUCUGGUUAAAAUUUUCAAAAUUAGUGAGUUUCUGAUCUAGUGAUUAAGACAAAUGGCUAUAGUGUUGAAGGUCCUGAGUUAUAUUCUCACCUGGGGUGCUAAAAAAUCAGUACAUCAGAAGGGUAAUUUUCAUCCUCUCACACACAUCUCUGGUACCCAGACCGGAGUUUAAAUCAGAAUUGGUACUUUGGGGUCCUCGGUUGGUCAAAGUUGUCCCCUACUUUGACCUGGAGAUCAAUCAUCUGAUAUCUCUCUGGUUUGUCUGUUCCAUCGAGUAUUUCAGCUUCCUCCACCAUAAUAACAGACUUCCAGGUGUCCUAGCACUCCCUUUGUGUUGGAUGGGGAAUGAUUGUCCUUGUAAAAAUAAUUUUCGUAUAAAUAUAUAUAUGUUAGUGACAUUAAUCCCUAUAGGGAGUGUACAUUGUACAUGGACAUGAUGGAUGCCACUUCGGAUAACGAAGGUAAAUGAAUUUACCAGUACAUACAAACAUAGAUUUAUGUUUUUGUAAAUACAGUAAAACAGAGAUUGUCAAAUUUUUUGUAUUCCAUAUUUUUGUAUACAUUGUAUAUAUCAGUAUAUAUUUUGUUAUAUUAUCUAGUUUUUACAAUUUUUCUUUGUUUUUAUGUAGAUUUUUUUAAUAUUUCAUUUUUAUGGUCCCGCACCCCGCAACAAAGUUGUCGGUGCCAUAUAGUUUUACCCUUUCCGAAAUUCUAAAAUUCCGUAAGUCCGUCAUUUCGUCCUUCCCCAAAAACCAUCAUACAGAGUUUUUUCUAAACGCCUGACUGGCUGACUUUUGGUGUGUGAGUUAACCAUGAUGGUUACUGAUCAAGUUUAAGUUUCGUUCCACUGCGCUAAUUUUUGCUGAAAUUACUGGCUUUGUACUUUGAUAAAUUGUUGAAAAUCACAGUUAUACAGACUUUUUUUCUAAAUGCUUGCCUUUAUUAGGCUGAUUUUUGGUGUGUGAGUUAACCAUGAUGAAUUACAGAUCAAGUUUAAGUUUCAUUCCGCUCUGCUAAUUUUUGCCGAAAUUACGAAAUUUUGGACUUUAAAAAAUUGUUGAAAAUCACAGUUAUACAGACUUUUUCUAUACGCCUCCAGAUUUUGAGCUAAUUUUUUAUAUGUGAGACUACCAUCAUUUUUGUGUCCUCAUGUGUAAUUCAAAUUGCAGAUUUUUCUACUUUUUGAGACAGAGCUAUUUGUGUCGCUUUGACACAUCUAGUUUAUUUUAAUUUUUAAUUUAAGAUAAAAACAUGAUUGCCUGAUUACUUCAGGUGUGGAUAGGUAUCAAGGAGCACAUCAUGAGUGAGUGCACCCUUGAAAAUUUCUGUGGAGGUGUUUUUUGUUAUGACAGGGGAUAAUUUGUCCCCGUCUUUUUAAAUUGUUUGACAAAAGAAAGACAAUUUGUAGCUGUCCUUGUUACAUUGGAUUUGUCUGUAAGCAUCUUUAUUGGUUGAUCUUGUAAUGGUCUGACUCUUUUGUAAUAAAUUUUGCGAUGGAUUGGCAAUAUUUUCGUUUGUAAUUUUGUGAAACAUUAGUGGCCUUGUUCUUAGCUGGCGUUCUUGUAAUGUUUGCCAUUUCAUGGUGUCUAGCAUUUCAGACACACUGCUGGUAUUGUGAUGUCUUUUACAUGCAUACAAUGUACCUUGCAGCUUGUCUCUGGACUUUUUCUAGUGAUCAUAUGUUUUCGCUUGUAUAGAGGUCCCAUACAGUAGGCAGUAUUCUAGUGUAGGUCUUAUGAUGGUUUGGUAUGCUCUUUCUUUUAUUUUUUGUGACUGCACUUUGAGAUGUACACCGAUGUUGUGAAAAACCAUAUGUCAUUGAUGGUACCAGCGGGAUUCAAAACCCUUAAAUUCAGAAUCUAAAGGAAGUGCUCUAUCCAAUUGAACCAAAGAAGAUCUUCCCUAUCUUAAAUUGUUAGACUACCUUUAUUUCUCCAGGUCUACAACAAUUAUAACUUUUUUGUCUGAAAUUGAAUAUUAUAACAUGUAUAAGUCAUUGUAAGAUUGUAAAAAUCUUAACCUUUAACAUGCUGGGGCGGUGAAUUUGACACCUUUAACAUGCUGUGACAUUGUGAUGUACCUUUAACAUUGGGGCGUGACAAUGUACCUUUAACAUGCUGGGGCGGUGACAUUGUGACUGUACCUUUAACAUGCUGGGGCGGUGACAUUGUGACUGAACCUUUAACAUGCUGGGGCGGUGACAUUGUGACUGAACCUAAAACAUGUUAACCUUUAACAUGCUGGGCGGUGACAUUGUGACUGUACUAAAACACUGUUAACUUUAACAUGCUGGGCGGUGACAUUUGACUGUACCUAAAACACUGUUAACCUUUAACAUGCUGGGCGGUGACAUUGUGACUGUACCUAAAACACUGUAACUUUAACAUGCUGACUGACUGAAAAACACUGUUAACCUUUAACAUGCUGACAUUGUGACUGUACCUAAAACACUGUUAACAUGCUGGGGCGGUGACAUGUGACUGUACCUAAAACAUGCUGGGCGGUGACAUUGUGACUGUGACAUUGUGACUGUACCUAAAACACUGUUAACCUUUAACAUGCUGGGCGGUGACAUUGUGACUGUACCUAAAACACCUUUAACAUGGGGCGGUGACAUUGUGACUGUACCUAAAACACUGUUAACCUUUAAAUGCUGGGCGGUGACAUUGUGACUGUACUAAAACACUGUUAACCUUUAACAUGCUGGGGCGGUGACAUUGUGACUGUACCUAAAACACUGUUAACCUUUAACAUGCUGGGGCGGUGACAUUGUGACUGUACCUAAAACACUGUUAACCUUUAACAUGCUGGCGGGACAUUGUGACUGUACCUAAACAUGCGGCGGUGACAUGUGACUGUACCUAAAACACUUUAACAUUGCUGGCGGUGACCUUGUACUGUACCUAAAACACUGUUUAACUUUAACAUGCUGGGGCGGUGACAUUGUGACUGUACCUAAAACACUGUAACCUUUAACAUGCGGGGCGGUGACAUUGUGACUGUAAAAACACUGUUAACCUUUAACAUGCUGGGGCGGUGACAUUGUGACUGUACCUAAAACACUGUUAACCUUUAACAUGCUGGGGCGGUGACAUUGUGACUGUACCUAAAACACUGUUAACCUUUAACAUGCUGGGGCGGUGACAUUGUGACUGUACCUAAAACAUGCUGGGGCGGUGACAUUGUGACUGUACCUAAAACACUUUAACAUGCUGGGGCGGUGACAUUGUGACUAAAACACUUUAACCUUAACAUGCUGGGCGUGACAUUGUGACUGUACCUAAAACACUGUUAACCUUUUAACAUGCUGGGGCGGUGACAUUGUGACUGACCUACCAAAACAUGCUGGGCUGGUGACAUUGUGACUGUACCUAAAACACUUUAACAUGCUGGGCGUGACAUGUGACUGUACCUAAAACACUGUUAACCUUAACAUGCUGGGCGGUGACAUUGUGACUGUACCAAAACACUGUUAACCUUUAACAUGCGGGCGGUGACAUUUGACUGUACCUAAAAACAUGCUUGGGGCGGUGACAUUGUGACUGUACCUAAAACACUUUUACAUGGGCGGUGACAUUGGUGACAUGUUUAACACUUGUUAACAACACAUUGUGACUGUACCUAAAACACUGUUAACCUUUAACAUGCUGGGGCGGUGACAUUGUGACUGUACCUAAAACACUGUUAUUUGGCUCCAAUGGCACUCCAUACAUAUUGAGGUCAAUGUCAGACCAUUUGUUCCGAAGUGUAUUCAUGUUUCUUCAAUCUUUAACUUACAUUGUAGUUAUAUUUAUUGUUAUGUUUCUCAGUCAAAAAUUAAAGGUCUAAAACUUUAAUGAAUUGUGUUAUCCUGAGAGGUUUCUGUUGCUAUUGUUUUUUUUUUUUACUUUUGAUUUUUUUAUUUCCAACAAUUAUAACAUAUACAUGACAUACAUACAAUAUAAUACAUAUAUAUAAGAUAAAUACAAUGUCAUUUUUAUAAAUAAAUCUUAAUUGGAAAUAUUUUACAUUUUCUAUUUAAAAAAGAUAAAGAAAUAAAAAAUUAAAAAAUUAAAAAAUUAAAAUAAAAUAAAUAAAUAAAUAACGAAGGAAAACAAAACACCAAAAAACAAAAAACAAAACACAAAAGAGAUUAUCCAGUUACAUCCCUAUCUAUAUUUUAAAUAUCAAAUAAUUAUGUUGAACAAAAAAUUGAAAAUUUACGAGACAUAUUUCUUUCGUAACAGCCAUCAACACUGAUCAAGUACAUAACACGACAAUAAUAUUUUCUUUAAAAAAGAUUAUAAUUAAGUAGUCAUAAUUUAUUGUAACAACAACAAAAAAGACAUAUAAUUAGCUGGUAUUCAAUAACAGUUUUUCAAAAACAUUCCAUACAUUGUCAAAUUCAGUUAUCUUUUUAUUUUUACAGCUAUCAUACUCUCUAAUUUAUACAUAUCUUUCAGUUUUAUUAUAAUUGCUUGCAAUGAGAGAUUCUUUUUAAAGCAUCUAGAAUUAUACACAUAUUGUUUAAUAUAAAGAAAAAUCAUGUUAUAUGGGUUGUUGGGAAAUAUCUUGGAUAAGUCUCCAAAAAGAAAGUUUAAUUUAUUUAUUGGGAGACUUAUUCCACCGGAAAGGAACCUGAGUUAUCAACAUCCUGUAGAAAAUCUUGUACAGUAUUGCAAUUCCAAAAUAGGUGUUCUAUAGACUCAUUAUCUGAUUUACAAAAUGUACAUAAAGGAUCAUCAGUCAAUUUUAUUUUAACUAAAUACUGAUUUGUGGCAAUAAUGCAAUGGUUAAUCCUAUAUUGCAACCACUGUAAUUUACUAUUUUUAGUAACAGCAAAAGGCAGUCUGAAAAUCUUUUUCCAGUUCAGAUUCUGUUCACCUAAAAUUUUAACCCACUUAAGCUGUCCAGUAGGAAUAACAUUAUUUCUUGUCAGUACAGAAUACAUAUCUUUUGAUCCUUUACAAUGUUUUAAAAAUAUUUGUAGACAUGAUGGUAUAAAAGGACAAACUAAUUUUGUAAGAUCCUUUAGGGAAAGAUUUUGAUGCCUUCUUUCACUGCCGAAAUAAAAAACACUGUAAAAUUUUAAGAAAAUCUGUGUUAAUGUUAUAUUUUGCUUAAAUUGGUCAAAUGAAAUAUACGAUCCAUUUUCGUCAACUAUAUCAUUUACAAAUCUAAUACCACUAUUGAAACAAUUCUUGAUAAAUUACUGAUUUAUGACCAAUCUUAAUAUUAUUAUUCAGCCAUAGUGGAUUUGAUAAAAAUGAAUCAUAAGUAAAAUUUCUUCUUUUUGAAUAAUCAUUUCCCAGGAUCUUAGUUACAUCUUUCCAAAAAUGGUUGUUAACUGUCAUAUACAGUUGUCUAAUAUAAUCAACACCACAACUAAACAACUUUCUUUUAUCUAUAUUUGACAUGAAAAUAUUUUGCCAUUUUUACUAUCUCUCUGCAAAAGCCUCCUAAUCCAUGUUGAUUUAAGUGCUGUAAUGAACAUAUUCAAAUCAAGCAUUUUCAAACCUCCCUCCAAAUAAUCUUUGAUUAGAAUAUCCUUCUUAACUCUAUGUAUAGGUGAGUUCCAUAUGUAUGAAUAAAUAAGUUCAUUUAUUCUCUUAAUAAUAUCAUCUGAAGGAUUUGGCAGAGAGAUAAUGAGAUGGUUUUACAAUAGGCAAGACUAGAGUUUUAAUCACAGUUAUUCUACCUAUAACAGUUAGAUUCCUUUUAGACCAUUGAUUUAAAGUAUUUUUAAUCUGUACAAUUCUUUCAGAAUAAUUUAUCUUAACAAUUUUUUCAAGAUCUACAUCAAAAUUGAUUCCUAGUAAUUUAAACGAAGUUUCACCCCAGGACAGAUUUCUGUUAGGGCAUAAAGUAUCUGUACUAUAUUUUUUUGCUCCCAAACCAAAUAACUUGUGUUUUUUGUGAAGUUAAUAUUCAGUCCAGAUAUUUUUGCAAACCAGUCUAAUUCUAAUAAUGAUUCUUGUAAAGAUUUUUCACUCCCAUCCAAAAUCAAAGAGGUGUCAUCAGCAAACUGUGACAAUUUAUGCUCAACCCGUGUGACCUCUAUACCACUAAUGUCACUAUUUCCCCUUAUUUUCAAUGCCAGAAUCUCAACACAUAAAAUAAAAAGAUAUGGAGACAGGGGUCCCCUUGUCUACAACCUCUUCCAAUAGUAAAAAAAAUCUGAAAGGUUCCCCCCCUGGAUGACAGCAGAUUGAUAUUAUUGUAAAAAACUUUAACCCAAUUGAUGAUAGAAUCGCCAAAAUUGAAAAAUUUCAAAAACAUUUAUCAAAAAAGUCCCAUGAUAUUGAAUCGAAAGCUUUUUCGAAAUCAAUCAAAAGUAAUAACCCUGGUAUUUCAUGUUCCUCUGUGUACUGUAAAUAUAUCAUAAAUGAGUCUUAUAUUUUCCCCAAUAUACCUUCCACUAAUAAAACCAGUCUGAUCAAAAUUUAUCAAUUUAUCAAGGACACUCUUAAAUCUGUUUGCAAUAGCUGCUGAUCCAAUUUUAUACACAGUAUUCAGUAAAGAUAUAGGACGCCAGUUUUUUAAAAAGUGGCGGGGUUUAUUCCCUUUUGGUAAACAAGUAAUAAUCCCUUGUUUUUGUGUAACAGAUAGUUCCCCUGUUUUUGAACCAUAAUUUAAAGAAUUUACAAUAAAAAUUUGAAGAUCCUUCCAAAAAAAUUUAUAGAACUCUGCUGAAAAACCAUCCGUUCCAGGAGUUUUGUUGUUUUUCAUUUUUUUCAAUGCUUCUCCGGCUUCUUUAACAGUAAUUAUACCUUCCAAGCUUUCUUUUUCCUGAGACGAAAGUAUAGGAACACUUAAAUUUUUUAAGUCUUUUUUAAGAUCACUUAAAGUACUUUUAGUAUCCCUUUUUUUAUAAAGAUUGUCAUAAAAAUAUUUAAACUUCAUUCAAAAUAUCUUUUUGUUUUGUUAUAAUUUCCCCAUUUUCUUUCUCUACUUUGGGAAUAAUUUUGCUCAUAAAAUUUCGUGAUUCUAAAGCCACAGAAAUAAUUAGUAGGUUUUUCCCCUUCCUGUAUCCAUUGAACACGGGGAUCUUACUAAUUUCCCUUUUAAUUUUUGUGUUCGUAAACUUUCGAGCUCAUGCUUUUUUGCUUCUAAUGCGUUAAUGAAAUGUUCGUCAACUCUUUCUUCUAAUUGAGUUGCUAUUGUUGACAGAUUUGUAAUAAAUUGUAAUUUUAAGUUUGUUUGCAUGCAUCUGUUUAAGAAAAAUGUUGAUGAAUUUCUUGUAUAUCAUUUCAGUAUGUUUUGGAUGUGCAUGUUUAAAGCCACGCUACAAAAGACUUGUUGAUAAUAUAUUCCCACUGAACCCAGAGG